rnacentral:rRNA from 1 species
CAGGGAAUAUUGCUUAAUGGGCGAAAGCCUGAAGCAGCAACGCCGCGUGAACGAAGAAGGCCUUCGGGUCGUAAAGUUCUUUUACGUGGGAUGAGGAAGGACAGUACCACGAGAAUAAGUCUCGGCUAACUACGUGCCAGCAGCCGCGGUAAAACGUAGGAGACGAGCGUUAUCCGGACUUACUGGGCGUAAAGAGCGUGUAGGAGGCGCUACAAGUUGGAUGUAAAAGCUCCCGGCUUAACUGGGAGAGGUCGAUCAAGACUGUAGAGCUAGAGUAAGGCAGAGGUAGAUUGAACUCCGGGAGUAGUGGUGAAAUGCGUAGAUAUCCAGAAGAACACCAGAGGCGAAAGCGAUCUACUGGACCUUAACUGACACUGAGACGCGAAAGCCAGGGUAGCAAACG